GAUGAACGCUGGCGGCGUGCCUAAUACAUGCAAGUCGAGCGAACAGAUGAGGAGCUUGCUCCUCUGACGUUAGCGGCGGACGGGUGAGUAACACGUGGAUAACCUAUCUAUAAGACUGAGAUAACUUCGGGAAACCGGAGCUCAUACCCGAUAAUAUAUUGAACCGCAUGGUUCAAUGGUGAAAGACGGUUUUGCUGUCCCUAAUACAGGGUUCCUCGCCGGAUUAGCUAGUUGGUAAGGUAACGGCUUACCAAGGCAACGAUGCGUAGCCGACCUGAGAGGGUGAUCAGUCACACUGGAACUGAGACACGGUCCAGACUCCUACGGGAGGCAGCAGUAGGGAAUCUUCCGCAAUGGGCGAAAGCCUGACGGAGCAACGCCGCGUGUGUGAUGAAGGUCUUCGGAUCGUAAAACUCUGUUAUUAGGGAAGAACAAAUGUGUAAGUAACUAUGCAUGUCUUGACGUUACCUACUCAGAAAGCACCGGCUAACUACGUG
rnacentral:rRNA from 1 species